CGCCAGACUCCUACGGGAGGCAGCAGUGGGGAAUAUUGCACAAUGGGGGGAACCCUGAUGCAGCGACGCCGCGUGGGCGAGGAAGUAUUUCGGUAUGUAAAGCCCUAUCGGCAGGGAAGAAGAAAUGACGGUACCUGAAUAAGAAGCACCGGCUAAAUACGUGCCAGCAGCCGCGGUAAUACGGAGGAUGCGAGCGUUAUCCGGAUUUAUUGGGUUUAAAGGGUGCGCAGGCGGGGUGUCGAGUCAGCGGUAAAAUGUCGGGGCUCAACCCCGGCCGGCCGUUGAAACUGGCGUGCUCGAGUUGGAGAGAAGUAUGCGGAAUUCGUGGUGUAGCGGUGAAAUGCAUAGAUAUCACGAAGAACCCCGAUUGCGAAGGCAGCAUACCGGCUCCACACUGACGCUGAGGCACGAAAGCGUGGGUAUCGAACAGGAUUAGAUACCCGAGUA
rnacentral:rRNA from 1 species